rnacentral:lncRNA from 1 species
GAAACCAUAUUCAAUGAUAAUGAUAGUUUGGUGCGUGCUAAUAAACAGAAGCAUUUGCAUAAUCACAUAUGUAGAAGAAUGGAAGAAGAUUGGUAAAAUUUAUAAUUUUGGUAGUUGGGAGUGUAAAGUAAAGCAUGAAAAGGAUAGGGUUAGAUGAAAAAGGUAAAAUUGAGGGAAGUAAAAGUUGUGUGUAUGGGAAUGAUAG